GACGACGCUGGCGGCGUGCUUAACACAUGCAAGUCGAACGAGUGGCGAACGGGUGAGUAACGCGUAUCAACCUGCCCUUCAGAGGGGGAUAACUACUGGAAACGGUAGCUAAUACGGCAUACCAUCGGAUGUGCCCAGAUGGGAUUGGCUAGUAGGUGGGGUAAAGGCCCACCAAGUCGACGAUCCCUAGCUGGUCUGAGAGGAUGACCAGCCACACUGGAACUGAGACACGGUCCAGACUCCUACGGGAGGCAGCAGUGGGGAAUAUUGCACAAUGGGCGCAAGCCUGAUGCAGCCAUGCCGCGUGUAUGAAGAAGGCCUUCGGGUUGUAAAGUACUUUCAGCGGGGAGGCGUUACCCGCAGAAGAAGCACCGGCUAACUCCGUGCCAGCAGCCGCGGUAAUAC
rnacentral:rRNA from 1 species